UACAGAGGUCUCAAGCGUUGUUCGGAUUUACUGGGCGUAAAGCGUGCGCAGGCGGUUGUGCAAGACAGAUGUGAAAUCUCCGGGCUUAACCUGGGAACUGCGUCUGAUACUGGACGGCUUGAGUAUGGGAGAGGGAUGUAGAAUUCCAGGUGUAGCGGUGAAAUGCGUAGAUAUCUGGAGGAAUACCGGUGGCGAAGGCGGCAUCCUGGACCAACACUGACGCUGAGGAGCGAAAGCCAGGG
rnacentral:rRNA from 1 species